UAACACGUAGGUAACCUACCCUUGAGUGGGGAAUAACUCCGCGAAAGCGGAGCUAAUACCGCAUACGAUCGUGUGCCCACGGGCAUGCGAGGAAAGUCGCAAGGCGCUCGAGGAUGGGCCUGCGUCCGAUUAGCUUGUUGGUGAGGUAAUGGCCCACCAAGGCUACGAUCGGUAGCUGGUCUGAGAGGAUGAUCAGCCAGACUGGGACUGCGACACGGCCCAGACUCCUACGGGAGGCAGCAGUUAGGAAUCUUGGGCAAUGGGCGAAAGCCUGACCCAGCAACGCCGCGUGGGUGAUGAAGGCCUUCGGGUCGUAAAGCCCUUUUGCACGGGAAGAUAAUGACGGUACCGUGCGAAUAAGCCCCGGCUAACUACGUGCCAGCAGCCGCGGUAAUACGUAGGGGGCGAGCGUUGUCCGGAUUUAUUGGGCGUAAAAGGCUUGUAGGUGGCCACGCCAAGUCGGAUGUGAAAUCUCCCGGCUCAACUGGGAGGGGUCAUUCGAUACUGGCGGGCUCGAGGCCGGUAGGGGGAAGUGGAAUUCCCGGUGUAGUGGUGGAAUGCGUAGAUAUCGGGAGGAACACCAGUGGCGAAGGCGGCUUCCUGGACCGGUUCUGACACUGAGGAGCGAAAGCGUGGGGAGCGAUCCGGAUUAGAUACCCGGGUAGUCCACGCCGUAAACGUUGGGCACUAGGUGUCGGGGGUAUCGACCCCUCCGGUGCCGCAGCUAACGCAUUAAGUGCCCUGCCUGGGGAGUACGGCCGCAAGGCUA
rnacentral:rRNA from 1 species